rnacentral:lncRNA from 1 species
UGCCAUAUAAUCACUCAGAAAUGUUAUCAAAAUCAAAUUCUUCCACUUUCUUGGUAUGUGUUUUCUUUUCUCGCGAUCUUCCUUGGUAGUUGGUAGUGUUUUGUUUCCCGUGUUCAUCUUUUGUUUUUAUCAUGAAUAAUUUUUGGAUCUUGGUUACUUGAAUCUUUGAAAGUUGUUUGAUGCAAAACCACUGUUUUCAACAUCUCCCUAUCUUGUGACAGAUCACUGUGAAAAAUUAAGUUAGAUUAUUUUUUGUUCUCCAUGUGACAUAUCUUGUGAAUACAUGGUUGGUAUAACCUUUAUGGAUUAAUACAAUUAUUUUGAUGAAAAAGUAAUAUAUAAAAUUGUGUGAAGAUUAUACCUUGAAGUAGAAUUUGUUCAUGAAUCUUGAGUAGAAUUUGUUCAAUCAUGAAAAAUGUUAUACUAUUCUACUUUCACGUGUUCUUGUUUGAUGUUAUCACUGAAAUACUUUCAACUUUC